UUUCGCGCGUAAAUUUUGAGCUGUUGCAUUUUAUGUUUUCUUGUGGUGUAAAAGUGUAUAUAUAAAACGAAUCGAGCUCAUUAUUUUUUUUCGUGAAAGGUUAAAUAUUAGAAAAUAUGGCAAAACGGAUUCGUUACAAGUUGUCCGACUUGACUGAUGAACAGUUGCUGGACUUGUUUGAGUCAGUCCCGUCGGAUGAGGAAGUGUCAGACAUAUCAAGUGACGACGGGGACGACGACUUGAAUUUGGAAGAAGCUCUGACCAAUGCACUAGAGGACGCUGAGACUGUAUCAUUUAUAGACUGUAAUGUUGAAAAUGUGCAAAAUGUGGUAAAGGAACCUGGGCCAUCACGGAAAACCGCCAAAAGGCCUCGAUCGCCAUUACCAAUUAUGGACGAAACAUAUUGCAAACAUAUCUUCGCCAUCUUCUGGUGGCUUCAAUGGUUUUGGUAUUGAAUCAAUAACAAAGGAGCCGAGUAAGAUUGUGUGGCGACAGCAAUGUUUGCAGUUGCAUGCGAACGACAUAGUCUUUCGAGGAGAUUCUUCGCUGCCAGCUGAAUUAAUGAAGCUU